rnacentral:rRNA from 1 species
UACGAAGGGGGCUAGCGUUGUUCGGAGUUACUGGGCGUAAAGGGCGCGUAGGCGGCGCACCAAGUCAGGCGUGAAAGCCCUGGGCUCAACCCGGGAAUUGCGCUUGAGACUGGUGUGCUAGAGUACGGGAGAGGAUAGUGGAAUUCCACGUGUAGCAGUGAAAUGCGUAGAGAUGUGGAGGAACACCGAUGGCGAAGGCAGCCCCCUGGGUUAACACUGACGCUCAGGCACGAAAGCGUGGGGAGCAAACAGG